rnacentral:rRNA from 1 species
GGAGGAACUCUGAUGCAGCGAUGCCGCGUGAGUGAAGAAGGCCUUUGGGUUGUAAAGCUCUUUCGUCGGGGAAGAAAAUGACUGUACCCGAAUAAGAAGGUCCGGCUAACUUCGUGCCAGCAGCCGCGGUAAUACGAAGGGACCUAGCGUAGUUCGGAAUUACUGGGCUUAAAGAGUUCGUAGGUGGUUGAAAAAGUUGGUGGUGAAAUCCCAGAGCUUAACUCUGGAACUGCCAUCAAAACUUUUCAGCUAGAGUAUGAUAGAGGAAAGCAGAAUUUCUAGUGUAGAGGUGAAAUUCGUAGAUAUUAGAAAGAAUACCAAUUGCGAAGGCAGCUUUCUGGAUCAUUACUGACACUGAGGAACGAAAGCAUGGGUAGCGAAGAGGAUUAGAUACCCUCGUAGUCCAUGCCGUAAACGAUGUGUGUUAGACGUUGGAAAUUUAUUUUCAGUGUCGCAGGGAAACCGAUAAACACACCGCCUGGGGAGUACGACCGCAAGGUUAAAACUCAAAUGAAUUGACGGGGACCCGCACAAGUAGUGGAGCAUGUGGUUUAAUUCGAAGAUACGCGCAGAACCUUACCAACACUUGACAUGUUCGUCGCGACUCUAAGAGAUUAGAGUUUUCGGUUCGGCCGGACGAAACACAGGUGCUGCAUGGCUGUCGUCAGCUCGUGUCGUGAGAUGUUGGGUUAAGUCCCGCAACGAGCGCAACCCUCACUUUUAGUUGCCAUCAUUAAGUUGGGCACUCUGAAAGAACUGCCAGUGAUAAGCUGGAGGAAGGUGGGGAUGACGUCAAGUCCUCAUGGCCCUUACGUGUUGGGCUACACACGUGCUACAAUGGCAUCUACAACAGGAAGCAAAACGGCAACGUUAAGCAAAUCCCGAAAAGAUGCCUCAGUUCGGAUUGCACUCUGCAACUCGAGUGCAUGA